rnacentral:rRNA from 1 species
AUUGAACGCUGGCGGCAUGCUUUACACAUGCAAGUCGAACGGUAACAGGCCGCAAGGUGCUGACGAGUGGCGAACGGGUGAGUAAUGCAUCGGAACGUGCCCAGUCGUGGGGGAUAACGCAGCGAAAGCUGUGCUAAUACCGCAUACGAUCUAUGGAUGAAAGCGGGGGACCGUAAGGCCUCGCGCGAUUGGAGCGGCCGAUGUCAGAUUGGGGAGUUGGUGGGGUAAAGGCCUACCAAGCCGACGACCUGUAGCUGGUCUGAGAGGACGACCAGCCACACUGAGACGGAGACACGGCCCAGACUCCUACGGGAGGCAGCAGUGGGGAAUUUUGGACAAUGGGCGCAAGCCUGAUCCAGCAAUGCCGCGUGCAGGAAGAAGGCCUUCGGGUUGUAAACUGCUUUUGUACGGAACGAAACGGUCUGGGUUAAUACCCUGGGCUAAUGACGGUACCGUAAGAAUAAGCACCGGCUAACUACGUGCCAGCCGCCGCAGUAAGAC